rnacentral:RNase_P_RNA from 1 species
UCAGCUGGCCGGGCGGCCGCGCCCGCAAGAGCCGAAAGGCUGCGGGUGAGGAAAGUCCGGGCUCCAUGGAGACACGGUGCCGGCUAACGGCCGGCGGGGGAGACCCCAGGGAAAGUGCCACAGAAAGCAAACCGCCGCGGCAUUUGCCGCGGCAAGGGUGAAAGGGUGGGGUAAGAGCCCACCGCGCGACUGGCAACAGAAGCGGCACGGCAAACC